rnacentral:rRNA from 1 species
AUUAAAGUUGUUGCAGUUAAAAAGCUCGUAGUUGGAUUUCUGAUCUUGUUGGGUGGUCCGGCCUAGAGUCGUGCACUGCCUGGUGGGGUCUUCCUCUUGAAUUGUGCGUGUGCUCUUAACUGAGUGUGCGUAUGGUUUGGGAUCUUUACUUUGAAAAAAUUAGAGUGUUCAAAGCAGGCGAUUGCUUGAAUAUAUUAGCAUGGAAUAAUGGAAUAGGACUUGGGUUCUAUUUUGUUGGUUUCUAGAACCGAGGUAAUGAUUAAUAGGGACAGUUGGGGGCAUUCGUAUUUAAUUGUCAGAGGUGAAAUUCUUGGAUUUAUGAAAGACGAACUUCUGCGAAAGCAUUUGCCAAGGAUGUUUUCAUUAAUCAAGAACGAAAGUUAGGGGAUCGAAGACGAUCAGAUACCGUCGUAGUCUUAACCAUAAACUAUGCCGACUAGGGAUCCGUGGUCAUUUUUAUGAUACCAUGGGCACCUUAUGAGAAAUCAAAGUUUUUGGGUUCCGGGGGGAGUAUGGUCGCAAGGCUGAAACUUAAAGGAAUUG